UUUGACCCCAAUGGGAGGGAUGUCUUUUGCUGGUCCUGGACAGCGGGUCUCUCCAAACCUGCUCCUCUCUGGGCUGAGAACCACCCGGUCCCAGUGUGCCUCCCAGAGAAGCAUCUUAUGGAAAGGCAGCAGCUCGGGUCCCCGACCACUUUCUCCUGACACCACCAGAGUCACAAGCGCUGCAUCUAGCUAUGGGGGAGAGGACCACCCUAACGCACCAAUAUAUAGCUGAGGUGCAGGUUUGAGGGCCCCCAGCACAGCUGAGCCUUACCUACAAGGUCCUUUACACUUGGGAGUCCUGGGCACAAGCAGCAACAUGGGCCCCCACCUGGGAUCAUUAAAUCACAGACAGUGUAAUUUUACCUUCCUUCUAACUCCCUCCUGUGGGUGACUCUCCUACAUGCCUCACUCGGCCCCUCUGGCCCCAGAUUUUGUAGAACACGACAAAUGCUCCCUCUGACAAGUGGGGUGCAGGAGCCUGCCUGCCAAAUCAGGAGCCAGACCUCUGACCUGCGUCUUCGGGAACGGCAACGGCCAAGCCUUCUAUUCAAGUCCCAGCCCAGGCUGGGGUUUCCAGCCUGACCUUUGCUCCCCUGCAGGGUCGCCGUGGCUCAAUCCCCAGCCUGGAAGCUCUCUACCCCACGAGUUUCCCUGCCUCCCCCUGGGAUUCAUGCUCUAACGCCCUCCUGGCCGGCAUUCUCUAACACCCGAGCCUUUGGCAUUGACGUGCCCCUGUGCCCCUGGCCACAGCAAUGCUCUUCCUACUGGCUCCAGCCCCGAGCCUCUGGGGAGGCCUUGGCACGCUUGUUCGCAUCAUGCCCUCCCUUUUUGCCAGGAACUGAUGAGGUAAAAGAAGUCAUAAAGGCCGGCCCUCACGCGGAAAGAACUCACAGGCUCAGGCGCCGCAGAUUCAAGGGGCAAAACGUUUUAUUAUGAUGCCAUAAAUCAGGCACAGUGCCCUAGUGGGACUCACAUUUAGUAAGGAGGAAGUUGGGACCUUUUGUGAGAAAAGACUCAAUGCUGGGGUACACUGAAGAUCGGGGGUGCUGGGCAAUGGUUUCUGGUAGCUUCUCUGAAAGAAGUCAGGCUCAAACCACCUCAAAUCAAGCAAAGACACUGAUUUGGCCAUUUGCUUAAGUAAAGGGUAAACCACACUGGGAACCUCCUCUUUAAGGGGGUGGGGACACCCAGCAGAGUGAUGUGAGGGUUUAUUCAGAGAAGGGAAAGGAAGCAAAAAAUAGGAGAAUUUGGCAGCAAGUUGGAUGAGCUCAGUAGAUUUUGCACUUCUUUUACAAUCCCAGGUCGGGCAUGCAUGAGCAAGGUCCCUGUGAAAAGGGUAAAAACCCUUUUGUUCCGGAGCGGGGGCAGCGCCUUAUACAUGGAAAAAGCAAAGGGUCCUUUUAUUCCAAUGAAGUCUCUGAGAGAAAGUGGUAGAACUGCUGGGGCUGCGGCAGCAGCAAACACUCCAUGAUUCCCCUCAAAGACCUGUGACCCAAAUCCCUUUGGGGCCAGGAAGGAAUGUCUCAUUUUCCAUAACUGUUUCCAGCUGAUAAGGGGCAUAGACCUGCUCCUGCUUAAAGGCUUAGUCAUGAGUGAGUGGAGCUGGAUGGGAAUUGCAGCCCAGCACCUUCCACAGGUGGGAGGAGCAGCAUCCACAGGUGGGAGGAGCAGCAUCCACAGGUGGGAGGAGCAGCAUCCACAGGUGGGAGGAGCAGCUUCCACAGGUGGGAGGAGCAGCAUCCUCAGGUGGGAGGAGCGGCAUCCACAGGUGGGAGGAGCGGCAUCCACAGGUGGGAGGAGCGGCAUCCACAGGUGGGAGGAGCGGCAUCCACAGGUGGGAAGAGCAGCAUCCACAGGUGGGAUCACACUUCCAGAGGCUGAGGUGCUGACAGAUAGCUGUCCUGUAGGGCCCUCUGAAAUCUGAUUAACACUUGUCUGAAAGACACAAAUCUUAUUAAAAUGCAAGGACUAAAUCAAAAACAAAAUAUUAAUUAGGAAAGCAUCACUAGAGAGGACAGUAAAUUCCCCCGGAGCUUGUCCCCAAACCCUUUGAAUGUAGCUGCUGAGGAAGGUCAAGUAUCCCACUGACCUUCUUGAGGAUCGGUCGGCCCAUAGUGCAAUUUGUUGGAGGGGGUGGAUGACAACGCACCAGGAAGUAUUGGCCAGAGCACAGAGACCCCCUUCAGAAGCAAAGAGGUGGUCUAAAGUGAAGCAGGAAAAAUUGGAACAAAAGGUUUUGCAGUUGUCAAUGCUGAAAAAUUUCCCAUGCAUAUAUCUGGUAAAUAAAAAGCUAUCAUGGAAAAAAAAAGAA